rnacentral:lncRNA from 1 species
CCACUCGAUCUGUGAAUACAGAUACCUUGUGUAAAGGGGCGACGUUUGAUGACAGAUGCAACCUAUAUUCACAGUCCUUCGGAUACAGGAUCGACCUGAACAAUGACUUAAAAUGUCGAUUGUGUGGGAAUCCUGCGAAACCCCUAAGUGUGCUAAAAGUGAAUUUUACAUUUGGAGAUGAAAAGGGCAGCGCAAUAUCUCCCAAAGAUGCUGCUACGGCCAUGAAAGACUUGCGCUCUGUGGCGGACAUGAUGGGCAACUUGACAGCCGCCGCCAUUUCCAUAGGGCCCGUCUCCGGGGUCAUGGUGAAAGCAAACAACAUAAGUACUGUUCAAACGCUGUCCAUUGUGCAGAGUGACAAUUUAAGUAUUGUUGAGUCUGAAGAUGUAUUCUCAAAGUAUCCCAUUUCACUAUCUGUUCCAAAGGAAGCAUUUGAGAUAGCUUUUCGUUCCCAGAAUACUACAUUUGCUGGUGUGUUUAAAUUCCCAAACUUGGGACAGGAUACUCAGAAUACUCUCUAUAAUUCCAUUUAUGCCAUUGAGAUGGGAGUGAAUGUCUCUAAUCUCUCCAAUCCAAUCAGACUAAACAUCAAAUUGGACAAGGUACAUGAAUAUAUUUUUAAAUGCCUUGAAAGUAGUCCUCAUCCAAUACUCGUUUUUCACAGGAGGGGACAAGAAACUACACUUGCUCAUCCUGGGAUGGAGAAGGUAUUGUGAUUAUUUCGUGGUUCUAUUAAAGCAUUUCGAAUGAUUGUUAGUUUAAAGACGGCUGAGGG